rnacentral:rRNA from 1 species
AUUGAACGCUGGCGGCAGGCCUAACACAUGCAAGUCGAACGAGCGGCGGACGGGUGAGUAAUGUCUGGGAAACUGCCUGACGGAGGGGGAUAACUACUGGAAACGGUAGCUAAUACCGCAUACCAUCGGAAGUGCCCAGAUGGGAGUAACUAGUAGGUGGGGUAAAGGCUAACCUAGGCGACGAUCUCUAGCUGGUCUGAGAGGAUGACCAGCCACAAUGGAACGGAGACACGAGAGAGACACCGUCGGGAGGCAGCAGUAGGGAAUAGUGAACAAGGGGCGCAAGCAUGAUGCAGCCGUGAAGCGUGUGUGAAGAAGGCGUUCGGGUUGUGAAGUACUGUCAGCGGGGAAGCGUUACGCGGAGAAGGAGCACCGGGUAACUCCGUGGCAGCAGCCGCGGUAAUAC